rnacentral:tRNA from 1 species
CCGCCGGCGGCCCUGCGGACCCCGGCACCGCGGACGCCGGCUCUGCCCGCACCGGCCGUGCGGGCACAGGCCGGUUUGACUCCGGCCCGGCGGG